GCAUUGGUGGUUCAGUGGUAGAAUUGGUCGUUGCCAUCGACUAGACCCGGGUUCGAUUCCCGGCCGAUGCA
rnacentral:tRNA from 1 species